GUAGGGUCCGAGCGUUAAUCGGGAAUUACUGGGGCGUAAAGCGUGCGCAGGCGGUUGUGCAAGACCGAUGUGAAAUCCCCCGGGGCUUAACCUGGGGAGUUGCAUUGGUGACUGCACGGCUAGAGUGUGUCAGAGGGGGGUAGAAUUCCACGUGUAGCAGUGAAAUGCGUAGAGAUGUGGAGGAAUACCGAUGGCGAAGGCAGCCCCCUGGGAUAACACUGACGCUCAUGCACGAAAGCGUGGGGAGCAAACAGGAUUAGAUACCCUGGUAGUCCACGCCCUAAACGAUGUCAACUAGUUGUUGGGGAUUCAUUUCCUUAGUAACGUAGCUAACGCGUGAAGUUGACCGCCUGGGGAGUACGGUCGCAAAGAUUAA
rnacentral:rRNA from 1 species